GGAAUGGACUUUGAUCAAGACAUUCCCAGAUUUAUUAGGAACAGGAAAAGCUACUUGUGUGAAAUUCGAUCCAUAUGCAAAAUACAUUGCAGUAGGUUCAAUGGAUCGAAACCUUCGCAUAUUUGGCUUACCAGGCGGCAGAUCAGAAGAAUCUUAGAGCAUCAUCAACUCCUCUCGGAUUCUGCAGUUGCAGCAUGUCUUUUUGGGGGUAAAAAGUGACAACAAGACUAAGAGCCUUUGUUUCGUUCAUAUCUAAUAUGUUAUUCAUGCUUUCCCUGAUUCUUGGGGAUCAUCCUUUAAAAUAGAUGUCAAUCCUCCAUACGAAGGGGAAGCUUUGUAAAAGCAGAUGCUUAAGUUUUGGAGAAAUACUUAAUGCUUUAGUGUGUUUUUUU